rnacentral:rRNA from 1 species
GGUGAACGCUGGCGGUAGGCCUAACACAUGCAAGUCGAACGGCAGCACAGUAAGAGCUUGCUCUUACGGGUGGCGAGUGGCGGACGGGUGAGGAAUACAUCGGAAUCUACUUUUUCGUGGGGGAUAACGUAGGGAAACUUACGCUAAUACCGCAUACGACCUACGGGUGAAAGCAGGGGAUCUUCGGACCUUGCGCGAUUGAAUGAGCCGAUGUCGGAUUAGCUAGUUGGCGGGGUAAAGGCCCACCAAGGCGACGAUCCGUAGCUGGUCUGAGAGGAUGAUCAGCCACACUGGAACUGAGACACGGUCCAGACCCCUACGGGAGGCAGCAGUGGGGAAUAUUGGACAAUGGGCGCAAGCCUGAUCCAGCCAUACCGCGUGGGUGAAGAAGGCCUUCGGGUUGUAAAGCCCUUUUGUUGGGAAAGAAAAGCAGCAGGUUAAUACCCCGCUGUUCUGACGGUACCCAAAGAAUAAGCACCGGCUAACUUCGUG